CCACGGUGUGAUUCAUGACUGGGGUGAAGUCGUAACAAGGUAGCCGUAGGGGAACCUGCGGCUGGAUCACCUCCUUAAU
rnacentral:rRNA from 1 species